rnacentral:lncRNA from 1 species
CUCUGCAAAGAUCUUUGUGUGUCUGGCUCUGGGGUGUGUGUUUUUAUUUUUUUAGUGGGGGGUGGUUUAGUUUUUGAAAGCAGCGUCCUGUUGGGAAAGGUGGUUAGUCUGGUUUCGGGGCGACUGUCUCAAGGUAAAGGAAUUUAAUUUAUUUGGGACAAGGCUGUGUCGGAUGAUCAAGCUGCUUAUUAUGGCUAAUGAGUAUUUUUCACCUGAGAAUCUGUGGGAUGAGGUGGCUGUUAUCAGUUCAAAGUGAGGGGCCCCGGACUGUCUCCCACCUGCCUCUUUAGCCCCCACCCUAGGGGUGGUGAUGGACCAGACAGACUACUCAACGUAGGCAUCUGGGUUUGGGGGCCUCCUGUGGGACAAGGCCGGGGGCUCCAGGAGGCCUGGUGCUCACCUGGGGCAGUUUAUCCUGAUAUUUUGGUGUUUUCUUGGGUUUAAUCUAAUUCUUUCCAGUGUUUUUGCCUUCAGCUCUUGCGGGCUUCCCAUGGGCCCUGGCUAUUGAAACCAAAUUUUGACCAGGACCCUCACGUGCUAGGUUGACAAAAGCAGCUGUCUUCUUAAAUGUUUUAAAAGAAACAAGCAGCCCGAUCAUUCAUUGAGACUGAUCUCUGAACUCUCCUGGUUCAUUGAUGGGAUAGGUGAUACUGGUGGCUGUUAGCGUUGUUGUUUAUAAUAGGCCCAAGUUCACAGCAUCGGCCCUUGGGACCCAUGAGCUGAUAUCUGACCUUCUAAAGGUCAGUGGGCAGAGAGACCGGAGGCAGCCCUGAGGGGAUGAGGAUGGGUGGCACGGUGGCCGGUGAAGAAGGGCCUGUGUUUGUUGGGGGGAGGUGUCAUUUGCAGAGUUUGAGGACUGUGUGACACCAGGUGUGAUCUUGGCUGGUCUGACGUGGAGGGCCUGGGGACCUCUGCGCCCGGGAAGGGUGUGACACCCCCUGCUGGGCAAAGUGGUAAAGGUGUCUAAGGCCAAGGCUGCCACCCUGCCCCUCCCUGCCCUCCACUCCCACAGAGAACCUGCCUGCCCCCACCUCCAGUCGGUGUCUCAUCACCUCCCUCUCAGGCCCCACCCCCUUUCUUCGGAAAUGGGGCCCCCACCCAUCCCAGCCAAGAAGCAGACCUCAGAGAUGGGCCUGGUGGCAAUGCACCACCCCUUACCUGGGGCAGGAGAGCCUCUGCUUGUGGGCCAGCACACAGGACCCAGGCAUUGCAGAGCUGGAAGGCAGGCCCUCUGGUCGGCCUCCUCCUAACCUGGGUGCCAGCUGGAGCCAGCGUCCAUCCUCCUGCCAUCCACCAACCAGUCCCUCCAAGUCUGUCGUGGGGACAGUACUCCAAAGCCCUUCUCUAGGGUGUCCUGACUGGAGCGAGGGCCUCCCAGCCCUGGUAGGAGGCAGGUGGCAGAGCCUCUUGUGGCUUCUCUCCUGGGCCUUAGGGAGACUGACUUCUCCCAGCACUCCAGGGACAGGCUCUGGAAACUUUUCCUAGAAGCUAGAAGGGACCCUGAGGUCAGCUGCUUCCUCCUGUAGCUGGAGUAGAGCACUCCCAGUGGGACUCAGGCCUGGACUCUGGCCACUCAGAGGGGAGGCCCAGGGUGGCAGAGUUCUGACUGUUUCCUGGAGGAGUCAUCUGGUGAUACCAUCUCAGUCUCUUCUUUGAACUUGGAAGUUUCACUUAUAAUCUCAGAACUUCAGAAGAAAAGCAGUCUUCCCCCCACUUCACCAAAAAAGGGAAGCAGAUGAGGACGCUGAGAUCCCCUCUGAGCUGGUCCCUGGGCUGACUCCAUGCUCAUCUUCAGGAGCUGGGAACAGCUCCCUCAACUUCAUAGUGCACACGGCAUACAGCUGGGGCCAUGGGCCUCGUCUCUGGCCGGGGCUCGUGGCUGGUGAAGUGAGGGUCCCUUCCUCUGGGGCAGCGUGGGCAGCUUCAGCCGAGGGCCUCUCUGACAUAGUCCAAGGCCAGGGGCGCAGGCCUCGAAGGGCUGCUGGCAUCAUGGACCCACCAUGCCUCCCUGAUCCCUUUACUUGGCC